rnacentral:rRNA from 1 species
CCCAGACUCCUACGGGAGGCAGCAGUGGGGGAUAUUGCACAAUGGGGGGAACCCUGAUGCAGCGACGCCGCGUGGGUGAAGGAGCGUUUCGGCGCGUAAAGCCCUAUCGGCAGGGAAGAAGGAGGACGGUACCUGACUAAGAAGCCCCGGCUAACUACGUGCCAGCAGCCGCGGUAAUACGUAGGGGGCAAGCGUUAUCCGGAUUUACUGGGUGUAAAGGGGGCGCAGACGGCAGCGCAAGCCAGGAGUGAAAGCCCGGGGCCCAACCCCGGGACUGCUCUUGGAACUGCGCGGCUGGAGUGCAGGAGGGGCAGGCGGAAUUCCUGGUGUAGCGGUGAAAUGCGUAGAUAUCAGGAGGAACACCGGUGGCGAAGGCGGCCUGCUGGACUGCGACUGACGUUGAGGCCCGAAAGCGUGGGGAGCAAACAGGAUUAGAUACCCGUGUAGC